UAAGGACUAGAUGUUUUAUUUCAGGACUUCAAAGAAGUUUCUGGUGAUGACAAAGUCUAUGGAAUAACCUUGGAAGUUAGUGAGGUAGAAGGGCAUCAGGGAGCCAGAUGCCAGGUGCUGGAUUCCCAUCAAAGACACUUAGAAUGAUUACAGAAGUUGGAGAGGACAUGACUUCUGUGAGCUAAAUGAUAACGUCUUCAAUGAAGGAAGAGGGAAGGGCUGGAAAAUAUUUGAUCUGAAGUUGGUUGAAUCAGAAGACGCCAAACCGGCAGAUAUGGAGGACCAACAGUGUAUGCUUAAUUGUUUAUGUUGGUUUCAAGAACCCUUUCAUAUAGGAUUAAUGCUUCCUGAUGAUCAUUAUACUGUUAAGUAUUUUUUCCACCUAUUAUUUUUUUCCAUUUUAUUUGGCUUUUGACUACAUAAUUUUUAUGUACUAAUACAUGGUUUUCUCCCUUGCUUCAAAUUUUAAAAACUCUUCUUUACUAUUAUACACAUACACACAUGAAGGGAUACUCAGACAAGUGGAAAAAUAUUGAAAUAUGUUAGUGUCCAACUUAUAAAUAUUUUAUAAUUAUUUUGAAAUUCAGUCAGAAAUAACGUGUGAGAUAGAAAUUAUGUUAUUUCUCACAUAUUUUCAUAUUUGUAACUGAGAAAAUGCAUAAUACAUAUGGUAGCUAUGAAAUAUUACUAUUAUUAGGUAAAAUUUGAAGUUUUUUUUCCUCUUUUUCUGGUACAUUCAUUUGUCACUCUAUUUUUCUAAUAACUAAAUUUUAAAUUUGAUUUUUUUUGUUAUAUGUUUCAGUAUCUUAAAAAGGAAGCAACUGCUCCCUACCUUAUAAUUUCUCUAUAUCAGAGCAUUUAAUAAUUUUCGCCAGUUAAUUCAUCCAAAUCAACUAUAUAAAAACUAAACCUGAGGUUUAAAGGUCCACUUGGGAUUUUUAUUGUGAUUUUAUUGGAGUUGUACAUUUACUUGAAGAGAUAUACCAUCUUUAAAAUAUUGCAUCUUUCUAUCGAAUGUUACAGAAUACUUAUUUAUGAAAGAAUUGUUUAUGUCCCUUGAUAAAAUUGUAUAGAUAUUUUUAGAAUUAACAGACACUUCUGUGAAGUUUGUCUAUAGGAAUUUAAUAGCUUUGUAGCUAGCCACUCAUUCAUUGCACAAGUAUUUGUUGAUUCCCUGCACCAUGAUAAGCAGUUGCAAAAAAAAAUGAUGACGAAAGAAUGGGGAAUAUUCAAAAAUUGAUAGAUAGAUUUAAAGUCAUUGUAGGUUUUAAAAAUUGCUUCAAAGGAAAUAACAGAGUGCUGUGAUAAGACAAGGAAGAACCCCCAGGGAAAUUAAGACUGAAAGGAAGGCAGAGGUCAGAUUGCAAAGGGCCUGAAAGCAAUGCUGAGGGUUUUGAUAUUUAUUCUAAUAUCAGAGGGAAUGCAUUCUGAUUUUCCAAGAUAAUUUAUAAAUAUAAAAAUGUGCUCUGUGUUAAUUAUGAACAAGUAUAUAAAAUAAAAAUUAAACUCUCAAUGCUUUCUUCCACUAUCUGACUACUCAAGUUCUAAAUGAGGGUAUAUUAGCUUUUAUCAUUUUACCCAUUUCUAGAACUUUUCUUCACUAUGGAACACUAAUAAUUUACUGAGCUAUAAUUAUUCUCAUCCUCUCAAUUAGAUUGUAAAUUCCAGGAAGGCAGAGGUGAUACUGUUUUGUUUAUCCGCCACAUACUUAGCUCAAGGCCUUACUUACUAACACAUAAUAUGGAAAUAUUUAUUGUUUCAUGAAAUGAAAAAAUCCUUCCUGACAUGAUUAUUCUUGACAUGAAUAUUAAAUAAGAGAUACAUAAAUGAAUCUGACAGUUGUACUUUCUGUUUAUGAACAUGUACUGGUCUUUACAGGUGAAAAAUGCAGAAUAAAUGAAACUGGCAAAAAUAUGUAAAAAUUAGAAUAUUUUCUGAUGACUUAAAUGUAAAUAGUUUGGGCUACGAUCUUUAUUGAAUCCAUUUCUUAGUCUCCCACUCAUCUCCUUCUAUGUAAUGUACAAAAUGUGCAUGUCUUUCUCAUUAGGAUUAUACAUUGAUGUUAAGGAAUCAGUUUAAUCUUUGCUUCUUCCUUUCAAAUAGAGGUGCUAAGAUGUUGACAUGUGCAGAAGACCAGUUAUGAUAUUUCCUAGUUUGUUCACCAAAAUAAUUCAGUCUACAUCCAUUUGUUGCCUAUCAAUGACAGACUGGAUAAAGAAAAUGUAGUAUAUAUACACCCCGGAAUACCAGGCAGCCAUAAACAAGAACAAGAUCACGUCUUUUGUGGGAACAUGGAUGGAGCUGGAGGCUGUUAUCCUUAGCAAACUAACGCAGGAACAGAAAACCAAAUACCACAUAUUCUCAGUUACAAGUGGGAGUUAAAUAAUAACAACUUAUGAACACAAAUAAGGAGACAACAGACACUGCGAUGUACUUGAGGGUGGAGGGUAGGAGGAGGAAAAGGAGCAGAAAAGAUAAGUAUCAGGUACUGGGCUUAACACCUGAGUGAUGAAAUAGCAUGUACAACAAACCCCCAUGACACGUUUACCUAUGUAACAAACCUUCACAGGUACCCCCAAACCUAAAAUAAAAGUUAGAAAACAAAAAAAAAACUUGCCUUGAUUUCUGUCAGGUUUCUAAAUUUUCUGGAUCCAGACAAAGAUAUAUUAAUUUGUUUUAUACUCAUUUGUUUUCUUCUUUAAUGAUAUUUAUUCAAUUGAAAAGUGUGUACUAUUAUUACCUAAAACCAUUAAAAUUUAGUGAGAGGUUAAGGGAAUGCCAUAAUUAAUGUUUAAUAGUUGUCAGAAUACAAAAUUAUUUUAACAGCUUUGUUGAGGUGUAAUUAACAUACAAUAAACUGCAUACUGAAGAUAUAUAAUUUGAUAAGUUUCAAUGUGCAUACAUACUCAUCAUAAUCACCAUAAUAAAUACAUUAUAUAUAUAUGCAUCACUCCAAAAAGUUUUCACAUGUCCCUUUGUAAUACCUCCCUCUUCUCCUCCCCUCAACAAUCACGCUACUGGUUUGUGUCUUUUUGUAGAAUUUAAAUACAUGAAAUUGUUCAUGCAGUGUGAUACUUUUUUUAAAUCUUAAAUCUUUUCUCAGAAUAAUUCUUUUGAGACUCAUUCGUGUAGUGGAAUGUACCAAAUGUAUUAUUUUUUAUUGUAGAGUGGAAUUUAUUGUAUGCAUAUAUCAUAAUGUGUUUUCAUAUUUAUCUGUUGAUGAAAAGUUGACUUGUUUUUAAUUUUUGCUAUCACAAGUAAAACUUCUGAACACAUUUGUGUAUGAGUCUGUAUGUAGGCACAUACUUUCAUUUUAUUUGGUACUAACACCAAGGAGUAGAAUAAUUGGAUCUUAUGGUAGGUUUAUAUUUAACUUUUUAGAAAACUGCCACAUUAUUUUCCAAAGUUGUUGUUUUUUUUCACAUUCUCAACACCAAUGCAUGAAGAGUUCCAGUUACUCUACAUCCUCAUUAAUAGUUGGUAUGGUCACAUAUUUAAAUUUUUGCUCUUUUUAUAGAUCAGUGGUAAUAUCUCAUCAGUUUUAAUUUGCAUGUCACUUAUAAUUAAUAAUGUUAAGAAUAUUUUCAUGUGCUUAUUUGCCAUCCAUAUAUCUUCCUGGGUAUUGGUUGUCUGUUUUCUUAUUAUUGUAAAUUUUGAGAGUGUAUUAUAUAUUCAGAAUACACAUCCAUUAUCAAAUAUGUGAUUAACAAGUAUUUUCUCCAAGUCUAGGGUUUGUAUUUUCAUUCUCUUAACAGUGUCUUUGAAAUACCAAAAGUUAUUAAUUUUGAUGAAGUCUGAUUUACCAAUACUUUAUUUAGUAGAUCAUGCUUUGGUGUCAUAUCUAAGAUACCUGAAUAAUAUCGAAUUAUCUGACUGAUGAAAAUUAUAUGUCUCUCUUUACUAAGAUAUUUUGUAAAAAUUUCUCUCAGCAAUAUUUUAUCGUUUUUCAGUCUAAAAGUCUUCCAUUUGUUUUGCCAGAUUUAUCUCAAAUAUUUCAUAUAUUUUAAUUCUUUUAAUGAAUAUCAAUUAAAUAUCAACAUCUGAUUACCCAUUAUUAGUAUACAGAAGCACAACUGAUUUUACGUAUUGCCCUUGUAUUCUGAAAUUCUGCUAAACUCUCAUUACCAGCUUUUCUGUAGAUUCCACUGGAUUUUCUAUAUAAAUCAUCAUGUAUCUGUGAAUAAAGACCAAAUUAUUUAUUCUUUUAAUUACUUAUUUUCAAUAUGGAUGCAGUUAAUUUUGUUUUCGUGCCUGAUUGCACUGGCUAGCACUUGUAAUACACUGUUGAAUAGAAUUGGUGAGAGUGGACAUCCUUGCCUUGUUCUUGAUUUAAGGGGGAAAACAAUUAUCAUUUAAAAGAGGCUUUCAUUAUUAAACAUGAUGUUACCUACAGACUUUCUUUGAAUGUCUUUUGUAGUUUGAGAAGUAUCAUUCUAUUUCUAGUUUUCUAAGAAUUUUUGUCAGGAAUGGAUGUUAGAAUUUGUCAAAUAUAUUUUCUGCAUCUAUUGAGAUUAUCAUGUGUCUAUUUUAUUUAGUUUGUUAAUAUGGUCAAUAUUAUUGAUUAAUUUUUAAAUAAUAAACUAAGUUAUGCAUCAUUCCUGCAAUAAAUUCCACUUGGUCCUGGUAUUCUAUUCUUUCAUAUAUUGUUGGAUUCACUUUGCUAAAAUUUUCUUAAGAAUUUCUGUAUGUGUUCAUGAAGGAUAGUCAUUUAUAGUUUUCUUUUCGUAACAUGUCCUUGUCCAAUUUUUGUAAUAGUGUAAGACUUUCCUGAUAACAUAAGUUUGCAAAUAUUCCUUCGUCACACAUUUUCUGGAAGAGUUUGUUUAAAAUUCAUAUAGUAUUUUCCCGAAAUGUUUGGUAGAAUUCACCAUGGGAGUCAUCUUGGUCUGGUGUUUUUUUUGUUAUUAGAAGGUUUUUUUUUUUAUUUUUUUUCACUGCAAAAGUAACUUAUUUAACAGAUAUAGGGUUAUUAAAGCAAUCUAAUUCCAUUUGAGUAAACUAUCAUUUACUUUGGUAGUUUAUGCAUUGCAAUGCAUGCUCGUUUUGCCUAAAUUGUCAAUUUUAUUAGCAUAACAUUAUUCAUAAUGUUAUCCUGUUAAUGUCUUUAAAUCUAUAAUGUCUCCUUUCAUGUUCCUACAGCAGCUAACUUAUACUUUCUCUCUUAUUUUUUCUGAUCGGUCUGGCUCUGGAAUUUUGUCAAGUUUGUUGAUAUCAUCAAAUAAUUAACUUUGAUCCAUUCAUUGUUUUUUCUUUUUUCUCUUUUCUGUUUCAUUUGUUUCCACCUCAAGCUUUUGCCCCAAAUUCUUAUGUUUCUUUUGGUCUGUAUUUGCUCUCACUUUCUAGUUCUUAAGGAGAAAAAAGUGAAGUCGCUAAUUUCAGACGUUUCUUCUUUAUUAGGCAUUUAUGUUUAUAUAUUGUCUAAUAAAUAUGGCUAUAG
rnacentral:lncRNA from 10 species